CACCACAUUAUGAUGAAGUAUUACGGAUGUAAAAGAGUCAAAGACUCGCAUGUCCGAGAGCGCAUAAACCCCAUGUGGAUUUUUCCGUUGCCUUCCUUCUGACUCGCGAU
rnacentral:snoRNA from 1 species